AUUGAACGCUGGCGGCAUGCCUUACACAUGCAAGUCGAACGGUAACGGGUCCUUCGGGAUGCCGCCGAGUGGCGAACGGGUGAGUAAUAUAUCGGAACGUGCCCAGUAGUGGGGGAUAACUGCUCGAAAGAGCAGCUAAUACCGCAUACGACCUGAGGGUGAAAGGGGGGGAUCGCAAGACCUCUCGCUAUUGGAGCGGCCGAUAUCAGAUUAGCUAGUUGGUGGGGUAAAGGCCUACCAAGGCAACGAUCUGUAGUUGGUCUGAGAGGACGACCAGCCACACUGGGACUGAGACACGGCCCAGACUCCUACGGGAGGCAGCAGUGGGGAAUUUUGGACAAUGGGCGCAAGCCUGAUCCAGCAAUGCCGCGUGCAGGAAGAAGGCCUUCGGGUUGUAAACUGCUUUUGUCAGGGAAGAAAUCUUCUGGGCUAAUACCCCGGGAGGAUGACGGUACCUGAAGAAUAAGCACCGGCUAACUACGUG
rnacentral:rRNA from 1 species